rnacentral:lncRNA from 1 species
GAGGCCCUUCCGUACUCUCUCUCUCUCUCUCUCUCUCUCUCUCUCUCUCUCUCUCUCUCUCUCACUCUCUCACAGUCUCGGCCUCUCGAUCUCAGAUCUCAACUUCUGAGCAUCGGAAAUGCAGAGCGCAACCUUCACUCUCUCACCUUCUCUCCGGCUUCCGAAGCCUCGGAGACAAUCGAGCGCAACUUUGAACCCUAGAUUCGAUCCUAUACGUGCAUCAGCCUCUUCGAAGCCUAACAAUCUCACGCCUCAUAUGAAUGGUACCCUAUCUGCUUCUCUACCUCGCCGAUCCUGGUCUCUCUCUUCAUCUUCUUCUAAUUUCAAGCUCAGGCCAUG